rnacentral:rRNA from 1 species
GAUGAACGCUGGCGGCGUGCCUAAUACAUGCAAGUCGAGCGAACAGAUGAGGAGCUUGCUCCUCUGACGUUAGCGGCGGACGGGUGAGUAACACGUGGAUAACCUACCUAUAAGACUGGGAUAACUUCGGGAAACCGGAGCUAAUACCGGAUAAUAUAUUGAACCGCAUGGUUCAAUAGUGAAAGACGGUUUUGCUGUCACUUAUAGAUGGAUCCGCGCCGCAUUAGCUAGUUGGUAAGGUAACGGCUUACCAAGGCAACGAUGCGUAGCCGACCUGAGAGGGUGAUCGGCCACACUGGAACUGAGACACGGUCCAGACUCCUACGGGAGGCAGCAGUAGGGAAUCUUCCGCAAUGGGCGAAAGCCUGACGGAGCAACGCCGCGUGAGUGAUGAAGGUCUUCGGAUCGUAAAACUCUGUUAUUAGGGAAGAACAAAUGUGUAAGUAACUAUGCACGUCUUGACGGUACCUGAUCAGAAAGCCACGGCUAACUUCGUG